AAUGGCCAUGUCACUUUUUUCAGUGACAUUGUAACUUCAAAUGGUCAUUAAGUGGAUGGUUGUAAGUCAAGGACUACCUGCAGUAGGUAAAGCAAUUGGCUAGAAAUAGGGGGUAGCAUCAUGAGUUGUAGUCCCAACUGGGUGAUGCUAAGCCAGUAACUUUCUCUUGUCUCUAUGAAGCAGGCAAUGGCAAGUCACUUCCAAAAAAAGAAAACUGCUGAGACAAGUCCAUGCAGUUGCUGGAAGUCAGCAAUGACCUAAAGGCAUCAAUCAGUCAGUCAAUCAAUCUAAAAGCAGGGGGAGCUGACGUACAACAUAAACUCAAAGGAAACAUAAGAUCCCCUGCGGAAAUGGCCCCCUAUUGUCAGAUUGAAGAGUCUGCAUAAUGUCUGCGACCAUCUUUGCUCUUGGAGAAGCAACUGGUUAAACAGAGGAGUCUAUUCAGAUGAAGUGGAGGGAUGCAUUCACAUGGAAAUCACUUCUACGAGCUGAAUUGUUAUGAAUUCGGUGAGCAAAGAACUGAGCACCCCUUCUUCCAAAAAGAGAGAGAGGGAGAGUUUCUGCAAGGAUGUGAGGGAAGUUAGCCCAGAGAAAGAAAUAUUAAAAAGGGCAGAAAAAUAUAUUUUUCCUCAAAAGGACUUUUUAAAACCAA